AAGACUAUACUUUCAGGGAUCAUUUCUAUAGUUCGUUACUAGAGAAGUUUCUCUCAACGUAUAGAGCACCCGAACCACAUGAUCAUCUUAAUAGAUGCAGAAAAAGCAUUUGAUAAAAUUCAACACCCAUUUAUGAUAAAAACUCUCACCAAAGUGGG
ensembl:snoRNA U3 Small nucleolar RNA U3